AUUGCUUCUCAGCUUUUUGGCUAAGAUAAAGUAUAGUAUUUGUUCUUAUCAGUUUGAUAUUUGAAUGUCCUCUAUCCUAGGACAAUAUAUUAAAUGGAUUUUUGGAGCAGGGAGAUGGAUACACGAGCUGGCUCUAUACACUCCGUGCAUCAACCUGGUGUCAUGAUACUUCUAGGAAAGGUGUACCCAUU